rnacentral:rRNA from 1 species
GACGAACCCUGGCGGCGUGCCUAAUACAUGCAAGUCGAACGCUUCUUUCCUCCCGAGUGCUUGCACUCAAUUGGAAAGAGGAGUGGCGGACGGGUGAGUAACACGUGGGUAACCUACCCAUCAGAGGGGGAUAACACUUGGAAACAGGUGCUAAUACCGCAUAACAGUUUAUGCCGCAUGGCAUAAGAGUGAAAGGCGCUUUCGGGUGUCGCUGAUGGAUGGACCCGCGGUGCAUUAGCUAGUUGGUGAGGUAACGGCUCACCAAGGCCACGAUGCAUAGCCGACCUGAGAGGGUGAUCGGCCACACUGGGACUGAGACACGGCCCAGACUCCUACGGGAGGCAGCAGUAGGGAAUCUUCGGCAAUGGACGAAAGUCUGACCGAGCAACGCCGCGUGAGUGAAGAAGGUUUUCGGAUCGUAAAACUCUGUUGUUAGAGAAGAACAAGGACGUUAGUAACUGAACGUCCCCUGACGGUAUCUAACCAGAAAGCCACGGCUAACUACGUG